GGUCAUAAACUCAAAUGAUUAAUUAACAAAAUCACUCGCCAGAAUACUACAAGCAACAGCUUAAAAUUCAAAGGACUUGGCGGUGCUUCAAUCCCCUCUAGAGGAGCCUGUUCUACAAUCGAUAAACCCCGAUAAACCUCACCACCCCUUGCUAAUUCAACCUAUAUACCGCCAUCCCCAGCAAACCCUACCAAGGUCACAAAGUAAGCACAAACAUACAACAUAAAAACGUUAGGUCAAGGUGUAGUCCAUGGAGUGGAAAGAAAUGGGCUACAUUUUCUAAUAACAGAACAAUAUCUCACCACAACCCCUAUGAAAUCUAGGGGCCAAAGGAGGAUUUAGUAGUAAACCGAGAAUAGAGAGCUCGAUUGAAUAAGGCCAUGAAGC
rnacentral:rRNA from 1 species